CUCGUUUCGUUAUUUUAAUAAUCACAACUUAUUUAUGUAUAUUCUUGCAAUGAAAUACAAGUCAUCAAUAAUUUGGUAGCUAAAUAUUGCUUUGAUAUCUUGACUAAUUUUGAACAACUAUAAAAUAAUACAGUAUUUUAUACGUCCUGUUUAGUUAUAGUAGUUAACGAUUUUGUAAUUUAAUAUUUUUAUAAUACAAUGUUAUGUAUUCAUUAUGUACCAGUGUGUUGGUAUUUUGUUAUGAAUAAAGUUAUUAUUAUAAAAUGUCGUCAACUAUACUUUCUACCCAACUUCGGCCACCUUUGUAAAUUAGGAAUCUAUCAUAAUUUACGUAUCCAUUCACUCCACUCCCGUCAAACACCCAGGGGCGGCGCUAACAUUUUUUCGGACAACAUAUUUAUCAGUCAUAUUUUGUAUUUAACUACCGUUGUUCUUUCCAUUUUGCAUUCAUUUUUUCGUACAUUUCUCCACAUUUUAGCUAUCAUUCUUAAUAUUUAAUCGGUGUCACUCAAACAUUUUUUCCUUCCUAUCCAAAUCCAUGCUUUGCCGACUGCAUACAGAUUCAAUAUUUUACCGACUAGCUGAUGAAGGGGGUGCACACUGGUCCUGCAACAAUACUCAAUGCUUCGUAACAUUCCUGUAUGUGCAGUUCUAAAUUUUUCUACAAGAAAAAAACGGCAACCACAUACGAUGAAUUUCAAGGCUUGCUUUGAUUGACUUCAUAUAUAUUGCUUGGUAAUAUCCCGGCAUGAUCAAUUGCACUAACACCGCACACAUCGUGUCAUCGUCUGAAAUAAUGUUUUCCUUGCAAACAAUUAGAUAUCGAAGUACAAUUCUAUACGUAACUGGAAUGAUAUAAAUUUAACGCCGGUAUAUCCAGAAUACUGCUCUACUUCUGUUGCAAUUAUAAUAGUGGCCAUUGUGAAAACUAUUCAAUUUUAAACUGAAUAUAUAUGUGAGUUCAAGUUGGCUAGGUGUAAAAAUUGCUGUCGUAACAAACCGAGUCGUUUGAUUUUGAUACAAAAUAAUCCCAGAGUGAUAUACAAGUGGCUCUGAUGUGACUUCAGUCUCUUCAAUGACUGUAACUGGCAAUAUGUCUUGUUUGUUGUCAAGCAUCAAAGUCAAUUUAGAACGGAAUAAUUUUGGAUAACAAAGCACUGUGUUUAUGUGAUGUGUCUGUGACCGACUCAAGUUUUUGCUGAACGAUGAAAUAUAGUUCCAAUGUCUUUUAUGUUUCUGUAUCGUCAUAGUAGACGUGUAAUAAAACGACG